UACGUAGGGGGCAAGCGUUGUCCGGAUUUAUUGGGCGUAAAGAGCGUGUAGGCGGCUAGAUAGGUCCGUUGUGAAACUCGAGGCUCAACCUCGAGACGUCGAUGGAAACCAUCUGGCUAGAGUCCGGAAGAGGAGAGUGGAAUUCCCGGUGUAGAGGUGAAAGUUCGUAAGAUAUCGGGAGGAACACCGGUGGCGAAGGCG
rnacentral:rRNA from 1 species